rnacentral:tRNA from 1 species
GGGCUCGUAGCUCAGUUAGGAUAAGGCACCGGCCUCCGGAGCCGGAGAUCGUGGGUUCGAAUCCCACCGAGCCCG